rnacentral:rRNA from 1 species
GCAGAACGCGAAGAACCUUACCAGGUCUUGACAUCCUUUGCCACUCCUAGAGAUAGGAUUUUCCCCUUCGGGGACAAAGUGACAGGUGGUGCAUGGUUGUCGUCAGCUCGUGUCGUGAGAUGUUGGGUUAAGUCCCGCAACGAGCGCAACCCUUGUUCUUAGUUGCCAGCAUUUAGUUGGGCACUCUAAGGAGACUGCCGGUGACAAACCGGAGGAAGGUGGGGAUGACGUCAAAUCAUCAUGCCCCUUAUGACCUGGGCUACACACGUGCUACAAUGGAUGGUACAAAGGGUCGCGAAACCGCGAGGUCGAGCCAAUCCCAUAAAACCAUUCUCAGUUCGGAUUGUAGGCUGCAACUCGCCUACAUGAAGCUGGAAUCGCUAGUAAUCGCGGAUCAGCAUGCCGCGGUGAAUACGUUCCCGGGUCUUGUACACACCG